CCUACGGGAGGCAGCAGUGAGGAAUAUUGGUCAAUGGACGAGAGUCUGAACCAGCCAAGUAGCGUGAAGGAUGACUGCCAUAUGGGUUGUAAACUUCUUUUAUAUGGGAAUAAAAUGUUCCACGUGUGGGAUUUUGUAUGUACCAUAUGAAUAAGGAUCGGCUAACUCCGUGCCAGCAGCCGCGGUAAUACGGAGGAUCCGAGCGUUAUCCGGAUUUAUUGGGUUUAAAGGGAGCGUAGGUGGAUUGUUAAGUCAGUUGUGAAAGUUUGCGGAUCAACCGUAAAAUUGCAGUUGAAACUGGCAGUCUUGAGUACAGUAGAGGUGGGCGGAAUUCGUGGUGUAGCGGUGAAAUGCUUAGAUAUCACGAAGAACUCCGAUUGCGAAGGCAGUUCACUGGACUGCAACUGACACUGAGGCUCGAAAGUGUGGGUAUCAAACAGGAUUAGAUACCCCGGUAGUC
rnacentral:rRNA from 1 species